AACGAACGUUAGCGGCGCGCUUAACACAUGCAAGUCGAGCGAGAAAGGGGCAACCCCGGUAAAGCGGCGCACGGGUGAGUAACACGUAGGUAAUCUACCCUCGGGUGGAGGAUAACUUUCCGAAAGGAAGGCUAAUACUGCAUGAGACCACGACCUCGAAAGGGGAUGGGGUCAAAGCCGGCCUCUGUACACAAGCUGGCGCCUGAGGAUGAGCCUGCGGCCCAUCAGCUAGUUGGUAGGGUAAUGGCCUACCAAGGCGAAGACGGGUAGCUGGUCUGAGAGGAUGAUCAGCCACACUGGAACUGAGACACGGUCCAGACUCCUACGGGAGGCAGCAGUGGGGAAUAUUGCGCAAUGGGGGGAAACCCUGACGCAGCAACGCCGCGUGUGUGAAGAAGGCC
rnacentral:rRNA from 1 species